rnacentral:rRNA from 1 species
CUAGCCGUAAACGAUAGAUACUAGGCGUUGUGAGUAUCGACCCUCACAGUGUCGUAGCUAACGCGUUAAGUAUCCCGCCUGGGGAGUACGCGCGCAAGCGUGAAACUCAAAGGAAUUGACGGGGGCCCGCACAAGCGGUGGAGUAUGUGGUUUAAUUCGAUGCAACGCGAAGAACCUUACCAGGACUUGACAUGUCGCGAAUCUCAGGGAAACUUGAGAGUGCCUUCGGGAGCGCGAACACAGGUGGUGC